rnacentral:rRNA from 1 species
GACGAACGCUGGCGGCGUGCUUAACACAUGCAAGUCGAACGGUGAAGCGCCUUCCUUUUUGGUGGGUGUGGAUGAGUGGCGAACGGGUGAGUAACACGUGAGUAACCUGCCCCCUUCUUCUGGAUAACCGCAUGAAAGUGUGGCUAAUACGGGAUAUUCUGGGUCUGUCGCAUGAUGGGUCUGGGAAAGAUAUUGUUUCGGUGGGGGAUGGUCUCGCGGCCUAUAAGCUUGUUGGUGGGGUGAUGGCCUACCAAGGCGGUGACGGGUAGCCGGCCUGGGAGGGUGGACGGUCACACUGGGACUGAGACACGGCCCAGCCUCCUACGGGAGGCAGCAGUGGGGAAUAUUGCACAAUGGGAGCAAGCCUGAUGCAGCGACGCCGCGUGGGGGAUGGAGGCCUUCGGGUUGUGAACCUCUUUCGCCAGUGAAGCGGGCCUGCCUCGUUUGUGGGUGGGUUGACGGUAGCUGGAGAAGAAGCGCCGGCUAACUACGUG